UAUUGCAAAAAAAAAAAACAUAAAGCAUUUGGACUUGCCUAUUUGCUUUUUUUUUUCCGUGAGAACAAUAAGAAUGGACUACAGAAAGGAUAAUUCAAAGAACCUAGCUAUAGUGUUUUUUUUUUUGUUUUUUUUUUUUUUUGUUUUUUUUUUUGUUUUUUCCUCGCUACGCUGAAGUUCAGGUCUUAGAGUCUCUGUUAACCAUGUUAUAGUUUUUUUUUUUUUUUUUAAACUUAAUCACCUCUUCAGUCACUGGGGCAUAAAAUAGGCUGUCAUUACUGGCUACCAUUUUUGCUCCAAGGCAAAUUGCUUCCAUGUUUUACAGCAGCCUGCUCCUGUGCUCUCAACCUCUCAGGACUUACAUUACAAUUUGGGGUAUGGUGACUGUCCUACAGAUCCUGCCUUUGGUACAGGUAAUUCUAGCACCUACGGACAGGAAAAUUACAUCUAAAAUGAAGGUUAUUUUUCAAACAAUACCAUUGUGUUAUGAGUUAGAUUUUCAUGUAUUCUACAGCUCGAGUCUGAAAGGACUUGUAUUUUGCCAUUUCAGUGGUUUUAUUCUGAACCUAAAUAGGCUGACAGUUUUUUUGGCUUACUCUGUUUUAUAUUCUCUAGUCUGGCCAACUGACUUUUUUUUUUUUUUUUUUUUUUUUUUCCAUGUGCUUGUGAUUAAGGCCUGCAAGUUUAGGCACUGAAAAUUGCAAGUUGUGGUUGCUUUUCUCCUCUACUGCCCUGAAUAGAGCCUGAUGGGUAGGAUACUAUUUUAGAGGAUGGAAGAUGUGUCUGAACAUCUUAAUGCUCAAAGGGAUUUCCAUAUUGCUCUCCCACAUACUAUAGGCCUGCUUUCACAACUAAAUAUCUCUCACUGUGAUUUUAAAAAAAAUAAUAAGCCCUGCUGUGUUCUUGGUAAUAGCAUUUGUAACUGCCAGCUCUUAGGAGAGUGCUUUAGCCUCUGCUUGCCAUACAGGUAAAAGCUACCUCAGGAACAUUAACUCUGCAGAAGUAAUAAGAUUAUGGAUUUUCAGUUGUUCUCUAGUAGUCUCUCAUGUGCUGAUGCUUACCUGAUCCAGCAGUGAGCUGGUUCAGAUUUUCCAGCCAGCUGGCUCCAUAAACUGCCUUUCCAUGAUGUCAGAUAAAUGUCAGCUUGGUGCUUGACUGUCCAGACUCGGAAAGGUGGUGGGACUGCCCCUUUUGGCUGCAGUCAGUCAUUAGAUAACUUAGAUGUAUUCUCAAACUGCCCUUCUCUGCAUAUGGGGUUUUGAAUUGUGUUUCUGUAGCACCAAACUGAUUUUUAUUUUUUAUUUUUGUGUUGCUGACACAUCUGUAGGCAGACUCUGCAGUGUCUCAGACACACACAGGAUGUAGAUUGUUUGCAGAGGUCAAAUGUGUACAAGGACAAGAGAUCCAACGCAUUCAUGACUUUGCCAGAACCAAUGAGUGUGUGAACAGAGUGUUGAGUUUUUUCUUCUGUUCAAAGUAAUAUGUAGAGAAUAUUUUUAAAGUACACAUGAUUAAGCAAAUGUAAUCCACUGAAAUGAUCUAAAAUAAGCUUUUAAACUAUAACAUCUGUCCCUUAAAUUAUCCAGACCAAUUAGCUGUUAUUUGUC
rnacentral:lncRNA from 1 species